UGAAUAAAAAGAAUCGUCACACCCACGAGGGACGAGGUCACGCAUUAGCCUCGUGAUUUUUCGACCCCCUCACACAUUCUCAUUCUCCUUCCUCAAUCUCUGGCUACCUCCGUCACUCCAUUUACAACAUGGAUUCAAUUUGGCCCCGUCGUAAACAGGGCAGUGGCCCAGUCCUGAACCUCGUCGUCUCCGCCGCCAACAUUGUUGAGCGGAGCACCGCAAGAUCCUCCACGACCAUUUUGAUUAUCGUCGAUGCCGGAGAUCUUGCGGUGCGGUGGCCAGCAAACAACGAGAAAGGAAAGAGAAGAGCACUGAAGGAAGGGCAUGAAGGAGAGUCGCAGCGAUGGGGGAAGCGUGAACAGAGGCGGCGAUUCACCUCCUCGCAACAAUUGCGGCGAUUUACAGGUUGUUGACAAGGUGCUCCUUGCCGCAGAUGCUCCUGCGCGCAGAUGGAGACUCUACCUCGGCCUCACAAGCUCACACCCCUUGGAUUCUUCGGUCUCAUGCCGAGUGAUGGCUAGCUUGGUUCUCGCAUUAGCAGGAGGAAAUGAGGAAUUGUUCCUUCCAUCAUUCUUUUAUUCCACCCUUUUCCUAUGAGAUUUUAUAUUGAAAAAUAUUUGUAUGUGAAUGUGAGAUUGAAUUUGAAUACGUUUUGUCAAUUAAUAUUAUUAGCACA